rnacentral:rRNA from 1 species
CGCGUAGGCGGCUUCUUUAGUCGGUUGUGAAAGCCCCGGGCUCAACCCGGGGAGGCCAGCCGAUACUGGGAGGCUUGAGUGCAGGAGAGGGAAGUGGAACUGCCGGUGUAGCGGUGGAAUGCGUAGAUAUCGGCAGGAACACCCGCGGCGAAGGCGGCUUCCUGGACUGCCACUGACGCUGAGGCGCGAAAGCCAGGGGAGCGAACGGGAUUAGAUACCCCGGUAGUCCUGGCCCUAAACGAUGGUCACUAGGUGUCGCGGGUAUCGACCCCUGCGGUGCCGAAGCUAACGCAUUAAGUGACCCGCCUGGGGAGUACGGCCGCAAGGUUGAA